rnacentral:lncRNA from 1 species
UGGAUGAACUUCUCUACCACCUGGUGAUGAAAUACAUUGGGAUUCUAUGAAAAAGCAUUUUUUUCUAAACUCAAUUUCCAUAUUAAUUUUAGAGCUAUAUGUAAUUAGUUAAAAAUGUUCCUGAAGACUUAAAUCAAGAUAAUCUUUUAGAAGUAACAAAAUGAUCUACACAUGAAAAUACUCAAUUCAGCUUCACAUAUUGCCACAUGUUAUGUUCCCUGAGAAGCAGACUCUGAGAGUUUAGCAUGUAGAUGUUUUAAGUGGUUUCCGUGGGGUCAACAGCUAUGCAGAAUAGGGGAAGUUAGCAGGAAUGGGGCAGAAAUAGAAGUCAAGCUGUGAGGUAGGCCCAAUAACAUCUUCAGCUAACCUGCUGGGGAGCUCUAAGGCUGGAAUGUGAGUUGUCCUGUUUUGGGGAUGAAAUGGUAAAACAUUUAAACUCUUGAUUCUCUGAGUCAGUGAACAUUGGCUGCCCCAGGAAGGAGCCCAAUCUUGGGCAAGGCAACUCUCUAAAGCUGAGGGGAUUCUUGAAGAAGCUUGUGUAAAUGAAUGAAUGAAUGAAUGAAUGCAAGCUUGUGCAAGGUUAACCCAGUGGACUUGGGGUACUCAAACUCUGCACAUUUUAAAGAGAAGACUGGCCCCUUGACCAUCCUGGGAGAUAACCUAUAAGCCUUUGGAAUACCUAGCCUGAUACAAAUGUCUUUGUGUAUCUGGGGUCUUGGGAUAUGCCAGAUAGUUUAUGCAAACAAUGUGAUUUAUGGUGAAUGCCUGUUUUUGUUCACCUGGGGCCCUGGUCAUGCUGUAUUGGUUGGACGCCGGAGACUGAGCAGUCAUGGAGGUACCCCAGGCCUAUGUGACUAGCCCCCAGUAGAAACCCUAGAGACCAAAGCUCAGAGGCCUUGAAAGCUCCAUGAUAGAGAUGACAGAGCUAUAAGAUGAAAGCAGCCCAAAUCCCUGAGUCACCAAUGUUUGAAGAAGAGCUUCCCAGGAGAGGUACCAGACCCACAUGAGACUUCACAUGAUUAUAAAAUGAACUUCUAUUGUGUUGAAUCUCUGAACUUCAGGGUUGUUUUGCAGCACAGACUACAUUAUAGUGACAAGUAGAGGAAGGUACAGUAAAAGCCUUGCCAUCACUCCCAUUAUACAGAGGAAGAAACUGAGACCUAGAGAAGUUCAGAACCUUGCUACAUCAAUCAGAAGUACAAGCCAAGGCUCAUGAAGUGGUUUCCUUAUUUUCUCACCCCAAGUUAGUAAGUCUGUAACUUCUCCUUCACAGUGCAAUUUGUCACGCAGUCUAUGGCACUGUAGAAUUUGGCUAUAGAUCCCUAAGUCAGAAAAGUCCAUGUUUGGAGAACUACUAGUAAGUCAAGACAGAGGAGUGUGACAAAGGCUGACAAAACCCUACCUGCAGCCUGGAGGUCACAGGCAGCCUGCUUUUUGAGUCUCCCUGAAUGGAGGGGAAGGGGCUCUCCCUGAGGGAAUGUGCUCAACUCUGGGUCGUGUGGAAGAGUUAGGAAGUUAACACUCCAUGAGCGACCCUCAUCCAAUGUCGGCUGGGAAUGGGUGGAUAAAUACCCUAACUUUCUAAGGUAUAUGUGUGUCCAGCAGGGCCUCCAGUGGGGAUGAACCACAGUUGGCCACAAUGGUAACCUGCCCAUUAACACACCCUUCAUUGGUCUUUAUUCCCUUCCCUGAGCCUUCACUGUGUUUUCAGGGAUCACCUCCGAAGGAAAUGACUUACACCCAAAUCAGGAUCUGUUUUUGAGGGAACCCAACAUAACACAUGGAGAGAUGGGUUUCCUAUGAAGAAGGAAAUAUGGGCUGUAAAAUACCACGGAGAGUCAGAGUAAGUACAGGCGGCUACAACAAAGAUAGAUCAGGUCACGGAGGUCUCUGGGAAUAGAGGAAAGCCACCCAGAGGAAAAAAGGACAUGACUGCCACUAGCACCAUAUGUAUGUUUCAGAUGGGAUGUGUAUUUAUGUGUGUGUGUGUGUGUGUGUGUGUGUGUGUGUGUGUGUAGGGAGGGGUGACAGAGAGAGAGAGGCAGAAUAAAUAUCUUGGUCAUUGGUUACAAGCCAACAAAACUGAAGUGAUGAAACUCAGUGAGUUUUAUAGAAAUGUGCUGGAGAUGCUUCAAUUACUUUCUCAAUAGGUCUAUUUUGAUAACUGAAUGAAAAGAAUCCAUGUGAAGCACCUACCACUCUUCCUGGCUUGUAGUGAACACACAAAAAGAAUUGUUGAUUAUUGUAGUAGACACUGUAGUGUACCUCCUAGAUUCUCCUUACCCAGCCACUAUACCCAUCCCCAUUGCUGUGAGGUCAGGUGCCCAGGAAUCACAGCAUCCCACCCACCCUUCCCUUGCUCCAGGCAAUGCCCUCAACUGGUAGGUGUCACUUUGCCCAGAAACUACCAUUCUUCUCCAGGGGACCCACGGCCAAGGGCAAACUGGCAUAGGCUAUGCAAGGCUGGCCCCUGGCAGAAUGUAUGUGGAAGGGGCAACUCUUCAGUGUGCUUUAUGGACCAUGGACCAAAUCCAGCUCUCCAUUUGCUUUUGUAAAUUGUUAUUGGAACACAGCCACCCCAUUCCUUUUUGAAUUGUCCAUGGCUGCUUUCCUGCUACAACAGAAGUUGAGUUAUUGCAACAGAGGUCGUCUGGGCCACAAGAUCUAAAGUAUUUACUCUGGCCCUUGAUGGAAGAAACUUGUCCACCGAGCCCUAGAGCUGCACUUCCAAUAUGGUAGCCAUUGGCCAUAUGUGGAUAUUUCAAUUUAAAUUCAUUAAAAUUAAAUAAAAUUAAUAUUUCAGUUCUUCAACUCCAAAAAUUACAUUUUGAGUACUCAGUAGCCAUGAGUCGCUGGUGACUCUCCUAUCAGCCCAGAUACAGAACACUGCCAUCUUCACAGGAAGUUCUGUUGGAUGGUGCUGCACUAUAGGCUUCAGCUUCUGGGUAAAACU